UGGGCUUGGGCCUAAAGGCAAAUGCUGCUUGGGUAAGUCACAGAACCACUUCUAUGAGGCCACAGAAGCCCUGCUUCUUUGCAUGACUGAGCCAGUCACAAGGAUGGGACUAGCGCUGGGUAUGCGGUCCAUGCCUGCAACCCAACAUUUAGGAAGCAGAGGCAGCAGAUCUCUGAAUCCAAGGUCAUUCUGGUCAACAUAGUGAGUCCCAGGCCAGCCAGGGACAAAUCGAGACCCUGCCUAACAAGCAAAGGCGGUGGUGAGGAGAUUGGUUACAGGGGAGCACAGCCAUGUCAAAGACCCCAGCGUCUCACCUCAGACCUACAGAAACGGCAAACCUGCUGCCAGGUCAGGCUCAGGGCAAUGGCAAAGCCCUGGUCUGAGAAAGAAUGUUGAGCAUAGAGGAAGUACCAGCCACAGCCUCCUCCCUGAUGACUUCAGCCCGAGACUGCUCCCCUAUGGAAAGUACCUACUAAAACUGGCUAUCCCGUCUUCCCGUUCAACUGUAGACAACAAGCCCACCUCCUCGUUCAUCUGUACGUCAUAAACCCACCUCAAUUCAGAUAUGUAAGAUGAAUGUGCCGAGUUUCCAGUCUAUGCAGUCAGUGUGACUCCAUCAAAGUGUAUGGCCAGCCCAUCCCAGCUUUUCUGUCUGCGUGUUUGUCAUUUCUUCAUUCCCUCGUCACCCCAGUUAAGACGAACCCUAAGAGAUAACAGAGUACAGCGAUAAAUAAAAGAAUUAAAAUUU